UGUGUGUGUUAUGAAGGGCCUGGACUGAGUAUGCUUGGGACUGGUGACGCUGGUCUCUCAUACUCACAGUGGAGCCUGUGACUGCCUGGUUGAUGUUGGAGAUGAAGGGCUUGUGAGAAGGCCACUACACACUCCUCCGUGUGUCAGACAGGACCCCACUACACAGACUGAGUGUGUUAACUAUUCAUUUCUGUGCAGUGUCCCAUACACACAGCCUCUUACCGUCAGUAACGCUGCCCUGAGCAAUCACAGCCACGCAGUCUGCCGGAGGAUUCUACUGCAGUCACAGACACGCUCCAUUUGAUCCUGUCAAUAAUUCAGCGCUAAGCAAUCACAACUAGACCCUCACUCCUCUUAAGACAUGAGGGAACUAACAGAAACGAGAGCAGUCCUGCAGCUCUGUUGCAUAUCGAGCUAUGGAUCCUACCUGAUCGCCUUGUUCGUCAUGGGUAGAGCAGUAUGAGGAAGGGAGCAUUUUCCCCUGUGAAGAUUCUGUCUGAAUAUUUUGGUUUCCCCAUAUAUGCUUUCUUGCCUUUUCCUUUCACCAGUCAGUAAAAAUUGUAUUUUUGUUCUUACUUUGACAUGUUUAAUUUGCAUACAGCGUAUGUCAAUGCAUUAAUGUCUAGUUUAUAUUAUACACAUUCCAGAUUAUUAUGUCAUGUCUAGUGACCCAUAUGCUUCUUGUCACCCAGUGUGAUUCCUACUGAUCAGCUAGUAUAAAGUGGGAAAUGUUCAACGAGUGGCUGGUAGCAAGGCAAUGGUAGACCUUUAAGCUUUUUAUGCAUGUGUCACUUUUUUGUUUUGUUUCUUACGAUUAGUAGCCUAAAGCCACAUAAAUGUCAAAUAAAUCACUCUGUAGAAGAAUUACAACUUAGAAGGUGGUUAAUUGAAAAAGCCCAUGAAGUAAAAGCUUGAUCUGCACGCCAAUGCUUAGGUGACACUAAAAAUACACACCCACUUUCAUAAGGGAUAUCGCUGAAAAAACAAGGUUUUGCCAUACAACUUGAGAGGUUUGCAGUUUUGCUUUAUAAAUGCAGUAUACCUGCAAGUUUGUUCCACACUGCUAAUUUACCUUACUAUCUCAGACUCUGCAUCACUUGUAAAUAAGGAUUAUAAAGUAAGUUAUUGCUCUGAAUGUGUUUCUAUUACAAAGCAUGGACAGAAUUUCCCCCACACACACCACACACACACACACAUCUUUCCAAAGAAUAGUAUUACAACAAAUACUACAUUUCCCUACAGUAAAUUCUAGAUUUUAGUCAGAGUUACAGUGAGCUCCAAAAGUAUUGGGGCAGUGACA
rnacentral:lncRNA from 1 species